rnacentral:lncRNA from 1 species
GCUCUUGUUUCCCCCGCUGGGGCUGAUCUAAUUUUGUCCUUUCAGCUAACAGCUCGGAGUUGACAGAUUGAGUGAUGUCUCUGGCCUCAAGAAGUAAAGUUAUUCAAGCCUACAAAAAUCUGCUCCAUUUGGGCAAGAAUUAUCCAAAGGGUUAUGAUUUCUUCCGGCAACGCCUGAAGUCCGCGUUCAUGAAAAACAAGGAUGUCACCGAUCCUGCUCAGAUCGAACAGCUGCUCUGCAAAGCCGAGUUCGUCUCUAAGGAGCUGGAGGCGCUCUACAUGCUGCGGAAGUAUCGCACUCUCAAGAAACGGUACUACGAAGACGCACCGCCCAAGAGUUCGACCUAAUCUCAUGUAUUUGCGCUUGUUUUUCAAGCAGUACUCAACGUAACGCUGAAUGUUUCAGCGUAUAUGGUACCGGCAGUAAAUAACACAAUGCAAUGUCCAGCAGCAUUGUUAUCCCAAAGCAAGUGGUAUAGUUGGUAAUAAUACUCGUUAAGUUUUAAUUACAAAGGGACGUUUUGUACCCAUGUUGUCGAGGGUUGUUUUCAUGUGAAUGUUUUAUAUAGAAUAGCGCAAAUGACUGUUCUUGCCAGGAUACGAGGGGCGAGCUGUGUUUUGAGUACGUAUGAAUGGGCAUGACUGGAAGCGCCUGCUGUAUUUUCUUGGAUGCGGCAUUCUGGCGUCCUGGCGCAGCACAGAAACUGCAUUUCACCGGGGCAUCUGGUCGCCUGUACGCUCACAAGCUGUGCUCAAGCUGUUGAACACGUGAUGUUCCAUUAUGAGUGCAUGAUCCACAAUAUAUGGAAUAAAUAUAUUAUUGGUAGAAAA